GGUAGCGUGGCCGAGCGGUCUAAGGCGCUGGUUUUAGGCACCAGUCAUUUCGAUGGCGAGGGUUCGAAUCCCACCGCUGCCA
rnacentral:tRNA from 1 species